rnacentral:misc_RNA from 1 species
AAGUCGUAACAAGGUUUCCGUAGGUGAACCUGCGGAAGGAUCAUUAACAAAAAAUCUGGUGGCUUCACAUGCCACCAAGGCCGCCGUCUUCGGCGGUGUCCCGGGUCUCCCUCCAUCCCAGGCUGAGGUUUACAGCCUCAGUUCCUGGGGGGGGGGAAGACCAAUGGGACACUCUACACCCGAGGGCUUCCUCUUUUGGGGCCCGAGGUGGUCGGCCUCUCCUUAUUUAAGGGUCUAACUCUUUGGGAGAGGCGGGCUUGGCAUGGAUGAUGUUGUUGUUGGGGAGUUGCGCGUGGUGUG